rnacentral:rRNA from 1 species
CCUACGGGAGGCAGCAGUGGGGAAUAUUGGACAAUGGGCGAAAGCCUGAUCCAGCAAUGCCGCGUGAGUGAUGAAGGCCUUCGGGUCGUAAAGCUCUUUUACCAGGGAUGAUAAUGACAGUACCUGGAGAAUAAGCUCCGGCUAACUCCGUGCCAGCAGCCGCGGUAAUACGGAGGGAGCUAGCGUUGUUCGGAAUUACUGGGCGUAAAGAGUACGUAGGCGGUUAUUCAAGUCAGAGGUGAAAGCCCGGGGCUCAACCCCGGAACUGCCUUUGAAACUAGAUAGCUAGAGUCUUGGAGAGGUUAGUGGAAUUCCGAGUGUAGAGGUGAAAUUCGUAGAUAUUCGGAAGAACACCAGUGGCGAAGGCGACUAACUGGACAAGUACUGACGCUGAGGUACGAAAGCGUGGGGAGCAAACAGGAUUAGAUACCCUGGUAGUCCACGCCGUAAACGAUGAUAACUAGUUGUUCGGUCACUUGGUGACUGAGUGACGCAGCUAACGCAUUAAGUUAUCCGCCUGGGGAUACGGUCGCAAGAUUAAAACUUAAAGGAAUUGACGGCUGNGAGNGCGAGACGACACGAGGAGAG